GACAUGUGUAUCGCGGUUCCAGAGAUGGUUCCUUCAGUUCGGCUGGAUACAACACAGGUGCUGCAUGGCUGUCGUCAGCUCGUGUCGUGAGAUGUUCGGUUAAGUCCGGCAACGAGCGCAACCCACAUUCUUAGUUGCCAGCAUUCAGUUGGGCACUCUAGGAAAACUGCCGAUGAUAAGUCGGAGGAAGGUGUGGAUGACGUCAAGUCCUCAUGGCCCUUACGGGUUGGGCUACACACGUGCUACAAUGGUAGUGACAAUGGGUUAAUCCCAAAAAGCUAUCUCAGUUCGGAUUGGGGUCUGCAACUCGACCCCAUGAAGUCGGAAUCGCUAGUAAUCGCGUAACAGCAUGACGCGGUGAAUACGUUCCCGGGCCUUGUACACACCGCCCGUCACACCAUGGGAGUUGGGUCUACCCGAAGGCGGUGCGCCAACCAGCAAUGGAGGCAGCCGACCACGGUAGGCUCAGCGACUGGGGUGAAGUCGUAACAAGGUAAGCGUAGUGCU
rnacentral:rRNA from 1 species